GCAGACAGAAGGACAGUCAUGGCAGACAGGGGGAUAGUCAUGGCAGACAGGGGGAUAGUCAUGGCAGACAGGGGGACAGUUAUGGCAGACAGGCUAACAGUCAUGGCAGACAGGCUGACAGUCAUGGCAGACAGGGGACAGUUAUGGCAGACAGGCUGACAGUCAUGGCAGACAGGGGGACAGUUAUGGCAGACAGGCUAACAGUCAUGGCAGACCCAGGGGACAGUUAUGGCAGACAGGGGGACAGUCAUGGCAGACAGGGGGACAGUCAUGGCAGACAGGGGGACAGUCAUGGCAGACAGGUGACAGUCAUGGCAGACAGAAGGACAGUCAUGGCAGACAGAAGGACAGUCAUGGCAGACAGGUGACAGUCAUGGCAGACAGAGGGACAGUCUUGGCAGACAG
ensembl:lncRNA